AGAACCUCCCGGACCCCACUCUGUUCCUGAGGAUUCGCCCUUCCCACCAGAGCACCACCAGUGGCUGCAUUUCUAUAGAGGAGUAAAUGUACUAAGAUUAUUAACUUAUUGAGAACUUAACUAAAACUUGUGGAUGGAAGCAGAAAACCAAGAAGAAGAAAUGGUGAACCAAGUUGGAAUGAAAAAAUGACUAUAUGCUGGUAGCAUGAGUUCAUUCAGAACUGGGGAUCUGAGCAGCUUCCACUGUGAUGCUACAGAUAUGACUAUGAUAAAUGUCCUGGGUGCGCUCGAAGGCAGAAGUGAGGAGAUGGAUGGAUGGAGAGGAAAUGAAAUAGAAGAUCCACAGUAGACUACAGAAGCUGACUCUAGAAAAGGGUAGAAGAUGACAUUUUGAAGGUGUUACUUAAGAAGGCCUUUUGUACUUCCUCAGAUUGUCUUACAUCAUGAUCUCACGGUAGUGGAAUAGAGCUCCGCACUGGGCGCUG